GACCUCAUGGUUCAACGGUAGCGUGUCUGACUCCAGGUCAGAAGGUUGCGUGUUCAAAUCACAUCGGGGUCA
rnacentral:tRNA from 1 species